UACGUAGGGGGCGAGCGUUGUCCGGAUUUAUUGGGCGUAAAGCGCGGGCAGGCGGCCCCGUAAGUCGGCCGUGAAAGCGCCGGGCUCAACUCGGCGAGGACGGGCGAGACUGUGGGGCUCGAGCAAGGCAGAGGGCGGUGGAAUUCCGGGUGUAGUGGUGGAAUGCGUAGAGCUCCGGAGGAACACCAGUGGCGAAGACGGCCGCCUGGGCCUUUGCUGACGCUGAGCCGCGAAAGCGUGGGGAGCGAGCCGG
rnacentral:rRNA from 1 species